rnacentral:rRNA from 1 species
UGGGUAACCUGCCCUCAAGACGAGGAUAACCGUUGGAAACGAUGGCUAAGACUGGAUAGGAAUACGGGAGGCAUCUUCUGUAUUUUUAAAAGACCUGGGCAACAGGUAUGCUUGAGGAGGGCCUGCGGCGCAUUAGUUAGUUGGUGAGGUGAUGGCUCACCCAAGACGAUGAUGCGUAGCCGGACUGAGAGGUUGAACGGCCACAUUGGGACUGAGAGACGGCCCAAACUCCUACGGGAGGCAGCAGUAGGGAAUUUUCGGCAAGUGGGGGAAACCCUGACCGGAAGCAACGCCGCGUGAACGACGAAGUACUUCGGUAUGUAAAGUUCUUUUAAGAGGGAAGAAUGGCCCGUGGAAAAGCGGGCGUGACGGUACCUUUUGAAUAAGCCCCGGCUAACUAUGUGCCAGCCGCCGC